rnacentral:rRNA from 1 species
CGCAUCUGUGCAUGCAGCAUAUCAAUAAGCGGAGGAAAAGAAACUAACAAGGAUUCCCUUAGUAACGGCGAGUGAAGCGGGAAGAGCUCAAAUUUGAAAUCUUCAAGGUUUUACCUUGACGAAUUGUAGUUUAAAGAAGUGUUUUCUGUUGAAGUUUUGGUAAAAGUUCUUUGGAAUAGGACAUCAUAGAGGGUGAGAAUCCCGUAUUUGACCAUUAUUUUCAGCUGUGUGAUACACUUUCAAAGAGUCGGAUUGUUUGGGAAUGCAGUCCAAAAUGGGUGGUAAAUUUCAUCUAAAGCUAAAUAUUGGCGAGAGACCGAUAGCGAACAAGUACCGUGAGGGAAAGAUGAAAAGAACUUUGAAAAGAGAGUUAAACAGUACGUGAAAUUGUCAAAAGGGAAGCGUUUGACACCAGUGUUGUUUUCUCGAAAAUCAAUUAAAAAGAGUUAGAUUUUGUUGUGUAUUGACCUUAACAGCUUGCAUUUCAAUCUUCUUGCUUUUUUUAAUGCACUUUUCGUUUAACAAGUCAACAUCAGUUUCUUUUGUUGUAAAAAGGUCAUUGGAAGGUGGCUUUCUUUUCGGAGAAAGUGUUUAUAGCCUUUGACUCCUGCAAUCGGAGAGACUGAGGUCUGCAGCGUAGAUCCUUCGGGGUUAGAUACAUUUGUGCUAAGUUAUAGCUUUUUAUAGACAACUUGUUGACUAUGAUUAGUCUUGUAGCUUACUCGCUUAUGUUAUUUUACCUACGCUUAGGAUGUUGAUGUGAUACUGCGAGCA